rnacentral:rRNA from 1 species
UAGGGAAUAUUGGGCAAUGGGCGAAAGCCUGACCCAGCAACGCCGCGUGAAGGAUGAAGUAUUUCGGUAUGUAAACUUCGAAAGAAUAGGAAGAAUAAAUGACGGUACUAUUUAUAAGGUCCGGCUAACUACGUGCCAGCAGCCGCGGUAAUACGUAGGGACCAAGCGUUGUUCGGAUUUACUGGGCGUAAAGGGCGCGUAGGCGACAAUUCAAGUCAUCUGUGAAAUCUCCGGGCUUAACUCGGAACGGUCAGAUGAUACUGCUUUGCUAGAGUGCAGAAGGGGCAAUCGGAAUUCUUGGUGUAGCAGUGAAAUGCGUAGAUAUCAAGAGGAACACCUGAGGUGAAGACGGGUUGCUGGGCUGACACUGACGCUGAGGCGCGAAAGCCAGGGGAGCAAACGGGAUUAGAUACCCGCGUAGUCCCUGAGCGGGCUGGCAAGGCGCAU